AUUGAACGCUGGCGGCAGGCCUAACACAUGCAAGUCGAGCGGAUGAAGGGAGCUUGCUCCUGGAUUCAGCGGCGGACGGGUGAGUAAUGCCUAGGAAUCUGCCUGGUAGUGGGGGAUAACGUCCGGAAACGGGCGCUAAUACCGCAUACGUCCUGGGGGAGAAAGUGGAGGAUCUUCGGACCUCACGCUAUCAGAUGAGCCUAGGUCGGAUUAGCUAGUUGGUGGGGUAAAGGCCUACCAAGGCGACGAUCCGUAACUGGUCUGAGAGGAUGAUCAGUCACACUGGAACUGAGACACGGUCCAGACUCCUACGGGAGGCAGCAGUGGGGAAUAUUGGACAAUGGGCGAAAGCCUGAUCCAGCCAUGCCGCGUGUGUGAAGAAGGUCUUCGGAUUGUAAAGCACUUUAAGUCGGGAGGAAGGGCAGUAAGUUAAUACCUUGCUGUUUUGACGUUACCAACAGAAUAAGCACCGGCUAACUUCGUG
rnacentral:rRNA from 1 species